rnacentral:rRNA from 1 species
AACGCAGAGUAGGCCUUCGGGUCUAUUGCUGAGUAGCAAACGGGUGAGUAACGCGUGGGAAUCCGCCUUCUUGUGGGGGAUAACUGAGGGAAACUUCAGCUAAUACCGCAUACGCUCUACGGAGGAAAGGCCUUACGGUCUUUCAGUUAUCAGUAGUCAGUAAUCAGUAAUCAGAAGAAAAAAUUUGGGGUGAGGCAGUUGUGCCUCAUGCUCAAGGAAAUUCUGAUCACUGAUUACUGAUCACUGAUUACUGGAAGCGACCCUAGGUCGCGAGAAGAGGAGCCCGCGUCAGAUUAGGUAGUUGGUAGGGUAAAAGCCUACCAAGCCAAUGAUCUGUAGCUGGUCUGAGAGGAUGAUCAGCCACACUGGGACUGAGACACGGCCCAGACUCCUACGGGAGGCAGCAGUGGGGAAUAUUGGACAAUGGGGGAAACCCUGAUCCAUCAAUGCCGCGUGAAUGAAGAAGGCCUUACGGUUGUAAAGUUCUUUCACCUGUGAAGAUAAUGACGGUGGCAGGAGAAGGAGCCCCGGCUAACUCCGUGCCAGCAGCCGCGGUAAGACGGAGGGGGCUAGCGUUGUUCGGAAUGACUGGGUGUAAAGGGCGCGUAUGCGGUAUUUUAAGUGAGGCGUGAAAGCCCUGGGCUUAGCCCAGGAGGUGCGUUUCAUACUGAAAUACUAGAGUGCGAGAGAGGAAAGUGGAAUUCCUAGUGUAGAGGUGAAAUUCGUAGAUAUUAGGAAGAACACCACAGGCGAAUGCGGCUUUCUGGCUCGCAACUGACACUGAUGCGCGAAAGCGUGGGGAGCAAACACGAUUAGAUACCCUGGUAGUCCACGCUGUACACGAUGAGUGCUAGACGUUCGGAGUUAAAACUUCAGUGUCGCAGCUAACGCAAUAAG